CCGUUCUGAGAAACUGUAGAUUUUCCUGGGGCCAGACAGAUUCCCGAAAUCCCCUGGCCUAGAGAUUCCAGGCUCUUCCAGCUACAAGUACUGAAAAUCCAAUUGAAAUUUACAUUUGCUAAGACGAAAAUGUUCCUUUUCUACAGACAUAUGAACGAUUGCGAUUAUACAGUGUCAGAAACAAUAAGCAGUAGACAAAUCCAGAAUUACGUGCUGUGUAUUGGUUUUAUAUACUAUUAAUGUAGUUAUAUACAUUGUGUCAUUAAACAUUGUAUAUUAUAUGAUAUAAAUUACGUGUUUAGCUUCACAAAAUGAUCGAUAGUGCCACUUUAACGAAAUUGUUCCACCCAAUGAAGGAACCGUCAAAUACCCAUCCAGGUAAGUGCAAUUUAAAGGGGGCCUCAGGUAUUAAAAGCAAUUGUACGCAGCCAAAUGUACUUUCGGGAAACCGAUAAAAUGACACAUCAGCAUUCUCCUACACACGUAAAAACGCACAGGUCUGCAAAUGAAUUGUUAAAAAGCUGUUAACAAGAAUGUUACAAGGUUGUCAAAUAUAUUGCUAUAUAAUUUAAAACACUCAUUCAUAAUUCAUAAGCUUAUUGGCAAA